UACGGGGGGGGGCAAGCGUUGCUCGGAAUCACUGGGCGUAAAGCGCACGUAGGCGGGUCGUUAAGUCGGGGGUGAAAUCCUGGAGCUCAACUCCAGAACUGCCUUCGAUACUGGCGAUCUUGGAGUCCGGGAGAGGUGGGUGGAACUGCGAGUGUAGAGGUGAAAUUCGUAGAUAUUCGCAAGAACACCAGUGGCGAAGGCGGCUCACUGGCCCGGUACUGACGCUGAGGUGCGAAAGCGUGGGGAGCAAACAGG
rnacentral:rRNA from 1 species